rnacentral:RNase_P_RNA from 1 species
AGCGGGUGGGGCUGCCGCGUGUCGGAAUGCCGAAAGGUACCGGCAUGAGGAAAGUCCGGGCUCCGCAGGGCAGGAUGACGGAUAACGUCCGCCGGAGGCGACUCCCGGGAAAGUGCAACAGAAAUAGCCUACCUAAGCCGAUCCGCGCGAUCGGACGGUACAGAUGGAAAGGCGAGGUAAAAGCUCACCGGCACGGCAGGCAACUGCGUGCAAAUGUAAACCCUAUCCGGAGCAACACCGUAUGCAGAGCGAUUGUCGGCCCGACAUUCUGCGGGUGGCUUCAGGCGUGUGGCAACACACGUCGCAGAUAGAUGGCAGCCACGCGCCACGGCGCGUACAGAACCCGGCUUACAAGCCCGCUCG